GACGUAGGGCGCGAGCGUUGUCCGGAUUUAUUGGGCGUAAAGAGCUCGUAGGCGGCUUGUUGCGUCGACUGUGAAAACCCGCGGCUUAACCGCGGGCUUGCAGUUGAUACGGGCAGGCUAGAGUUCGGUAGGGGAGACUGGAAUUCCUGGUGUAGCGGUGAAAUGCGCAGAUAUCAGGAGGAACACCGGUGGCGAAGGCGGGUCUCUGGGCCGAUACUGACGCUGAGGCGCGAAAGCUAGGGUAGCAAGCGGG
rnacentral:rRNA from 1 species